rnacentral:rRNA from 1 species
UACGGAGGGGGCUAGCGUUGUUCGGAAUUACUGGGCGUAAAGCGCACGUAGGCGGCUUUGCAAGUUAGAGGUGAAAGCCCGGGGCUCAACUCCGGAAUUGCCUUUAAAACUGCAUCGCUAGAAUUGUGGAGAGGUAAGUGGAAUUCCGAGUGUAGAGGUGAAAUUCGUAGAUAUUCGGAAGUACACCAGUGGCGAAGGCGACUUACUGGACACAUAUUGACGCUGAGGUGCGAAAGCGUGGGGAGCAAACAGG